CCUACGGGUGACAGCAGUAGGGAAUCUUCCACAAUGGGCGAAAGCCUGAUGGAGCAACGCCGCGUGGGUGAAGAAGGUCUUCGGAUCGUAAAACCCUGUUGUUAGAGAAGAAAGUGCGUGAGAGUAACUGUUCACGUUUCGACGGUAUCUAACCAGAAAGCCACGGCUAACUACGUGCCAGCAGCCGCGGUAAUACGUAGGUGGCAAGCGUUAUCCGGAUUUAAUGGGCGUAAAGGGGACGCAGGCGGUCUUUUAAGUCUGAUGUGAAAGCUUUCGGGUUAACCGGAGUAGUGCAUUGGAAACUGGGGGACUUGAGUGCAGGAGAGGAGAGUGGAACGCCAUGUGUAGCGGUGAAAUGCGUAGAUAUAUGGAAGAACACCAGUGGCGAAAGCGGCUCUCUGG
rnacentral:rRNA from 1 species